ACGACCUUACUUGAACAGGAUCUGUUCUAUAGGCUCGUACCUCUGUAUCCUUGAUUUCUAAGGAGACAGGAAAACCAAGUCUGGUGGAUGAGCCAUGGCUGCUCGACCAGAGCGUGAUUAACCGCACCCAGUGGUUCGGUUGCUGAGCUGCUGGUGCAGUGGAGGAUCGUUCUUGGCUCGCUUUGUCGGGUAGAGAUGGUCUUGCAGCUGUCUGACAGACU